rnacentral:rRNA from 6 species
AUACGACUCUCGGCAACGGAUAUCUCGGCUCUCGCAUCGAUGAAGAACGCAGCGAAAUGCGAUACUUGGUGUGAAUUGCAGAAUCCCGUGAAUCAUCGAGUCUUUGAACGCAAGUUGCGCCCGAGGCCCUUCGGCCGAGGGCACAUCUGCUUGGGCGUCGAC